GUAUCUGUGGUACAUAUGCUAAAAUUGGAAGAAUGUAGAGAAGAUUAGUAUGGCCCGUGUGGAAGGAUGACAUGCGAAAGUUUGAGGCAUUCCAUCUAUUU
rnacentral:snRNA from 1 species